CUCCCCAUCGCCCCCAUUGCCGCGCAGCUCCCGCCCCCUGUUAGAAUAAGGACUAAAUAAACAGUUGUAACUCCAAACCUUGCGACUGCGAUCUUAUCCCGAUCCCACCCCUCCCCCUUUCCUCCCCCCUCCUUUUUUGUUGUUGCAACUUUGUAAGAUCCCGGGUAAGGUGCUGAGACUUUGGCUCCGUCCGAUUCCCUGUCUCGGGAUCCUUGCAGGGAAUCCCUGAGCCACAUCCUGUCUUCCCUCCACGCGCGCUUGUGGGUCCUUCGGGCCCGACGUCCUCUCAGCCUUGGCCCCCCAGCUUACUCAUCUAUCCCGCCCCAUUCCAUUUCCCCCAACCUGCACCGAGAAGACUUGCUGACGGUCACCCCGGUUUCUUGUCGACCGCAGAACCCGAAAGUUUGCAAGAGGAAGAGAGCGUGUGGCGAGCAAGCGGGCCAGGGGCAGCGGCAGCGGCGCCGGGGACCAUGGUGCUGCCGGCGCCUCCUCCGCGGGCGUGAAGGCGGCGCUCCCACUCCCUCCCGGGUCUCCGCGGUGUCCCAGGAGCUUUUGCUGACAAUUCCAGUUUCCAAACGAAACAUCUGGGCAAUGGUGAAGGCUUCAAUACCUUCUCACAUUUUCUGUCAACAAUGAAUGGAUGGAUGUGAUGCCUGCUUGUCGAAAGGUGUCCCUCUGUACGGUGCAGUCCUGUGGCAUUAUGCAUGCCCUCAACCAGUGACCUCCAGACUUUUUAUGGCUGUGAGACACAUUAAAAAUUCAGGGUAAGUAACAAACAACACUUGUAUUGUGUACUGAUCAACAAUUGCCAUCCACCCUUGCAGGUGACAUGAUAUUGGA
rnacentral:lncRNA from 1 species